AUGGUGCCGGUAGGGGUGGAAAAGAAGCUGUUGCUGGGCCCCAACGGGCCUGACCAGUGAGGAGGAGGAGGGCCAGAGCCUAUGGUCCUCCAUCCUGAGCGAAGUGUCCACCCGCGCCAGGUCUAAGCUGCCGCCCGGCAAGAACAUCCUGGUCUUCGGUGAAGAUGGUUCUGGUAAAACAACCCUCAUGACUAAACUACAAGGAGCUGAGCAUGGCAAAAAAGGAAGAGACCUAGAAUAUCUCUACCUCAGCGUGCACUAUGAGGACCGAGAUGAUCACACACGCUGCAAUGUGUGGAUUCUGGAUGGAGACUUGUGCCACAAAGGCCUGCUGAAAUUUGCAGUUUCUGCUGAAUCCUUGCCAGAGACCCUCGUCAUUUUUGUUGCAGACAUGUCUAGACCUUGGACUGUGAUGGGAUCUCUGCAGAAAUGGGCUAGCGUUUUACGUGAGCACAUUGAUAAAAUGAAAAUUCCACCAGAAAAAAUGAGGGAGCUGGAACGGAAGUUUGUGAAAGAUUUUCAAGACUAUGUGGAACCUGAAGAAGGUUGUCAAGGUUCCCCACAGAGAAGAGGCCCUCUGACCUCAGGCUCUGAUGAGGAAAAUGUUGCCCUGCCUCUGGGUGACAAUGUGCUGACUCAUAACCUAGGGAUCCCAGUGUUGGUUGUGUGCACAAAGUGUGAUGCGGUUAGUGUCCUGGAGAAGGAGCAAGACUACAGGGAUGAGCAUUUGGACUUUAUCCAGUCACACCUGCGGAGGUCCUGCCUUCAGUAUGGAGCUGCUUUGAUUUACACAUCAGUGAAAGAAGAGAAAAACCUUGACUUGUUGUAUAAGUAUAUUGUUCAUAAAACGUACGGUUUCCACUUCAUCACACCUGCCUUAGUUGUGGAAAAGGAUGCUGUUUUUAUACCUGCAGGCUGGGACAAUGAAAAGAAAAGAGCUAUUUUACAUGAAAAUGUUACAACCGCGAAGCCAGAAGAUGCAUACGAAGACUUUAUUGUGAAACCUCCCAUCAGAAAGCUGGUCCACGACAAAGACUUGGCAGCAGAAGAUGAGCAGGUGUUCCUAAUAAAGCAACAGUCACUCCUUGCCAAGGAGCCAGCCACACCCACGAGAGCCUCCGAAUCUCCUGCAAGAGGACCCUCUGGCUCUCCAAGGACCCAGGGUCGGGGAGGGCCAGCCAGUGUGCCUAGCUCCUCCCCAGGCACAUCAGUUAAGAAGCUAGACCCAAACAUCAAAAAUAAUGCAGCAAAUGAAGGGGUGUUGGUCAACUUCUUCAACAGUCUCUUGAGUAAAAAGACAGGCUCUCCUGGAAGUCCUGGUGCUGGUGGGGUGCAGAGCACAGCUAAGAAGUCAUGACAAAAGACUGUUUUGUCAAAUGCUUAGGAAGAACUGGGUGGAAUGACUCGAAAGCCAGACUCCGUGGUAACAAACUCAACAGAAAAUGAAGGCUGAACCUCCUUAAAAAGUGCAUAUGUCGAAUGACCAAAUAACUAUGUAUAUUGAUCUGCUAAGACCAGGGUUUUUCUGAUACGGCACAUGCUAUCAGUUUUUUGGGGCAGGGGAGAUGAACUUUAAAAAAACAAAAACAAAAACACUUCAUUGGCUUGUCCAAGUGUGAAAUGCACAUUUAGGAAGGUGACAUGUCAGACCCCUUUGUUAAGGAUAACCCUUGGACUCUCAGGCAUGUGGCUCUUUUGUGGGAAGCAAGUGCAUCUGGGCUUCUUGUGGAGGGGAAGUUAGAGUGAAAGAAAGAGGGCCCACUUUCUAUCAGGGUGGAGCAAAGGAGACCAAGAAAUCAUUGGUGAGAUGAUGGUUACUCUGACCAGUUUCAUGUUAACAAAUUCACUUGUUCUUGGGAAGCAGAUUAAGUAGCAGCAAGUCCAGGAAAGAAAGACCAGAAGGUGUAAUGAGAGAAGUGAUGGUGGGGAAGUUGAAUGUUGGGGGAGGUGGAGGAAGGAAGAGAUAAGCAGUGUUAGU